CCUGAGCCUCCACGCCCAUGUCCUGCCCUGCUCAUGUCCUUCAUGAACGCUACAGUAUUUCUACUAGCCUCUUUUCACUGGCAAUGUUCCCUCAUGCCUUUCCUUUUUUUAGCAUUUAUUACCUGAAAUCCUGCCUCCUGAUGCCUACCUGCCUGCUUGCCUGACCCUCUUCCUGAUCCCUGGAGUUUUGACCCGUGUCACCUUGCAGCUGAAGUGAGUGUUGCUGAUGGCCCUGCCGACCGUUUCCUCAGCCAGCAAGAACAAGAAAGACCUAGUCCUGCUGAACCCAAGUCUGGGGGACAGAGUUCCUAAGAUCACUGAUAACCAAUCACCAAAUCAAGCUAUUAAGGUUAGGAGAGUUGUUGUUCUCAAAGCGACUGAGAAUAACGUGGAACGGACCCCCUCACUCAAGGUUGAUCAAACCAACCUGGAAUGGCAGACC